GGUAUCUAGAAGCCCAAAAACAUUAAAUUAAUGGAUAAAACAACUGAUUUGGGCCUGAGCCGUAUCAUUCAAGUAAUACUUCUGAUACCAGUCUCUGAUGACAUGGCAGCUUGUGAUUAGUUGGGAAAACGUGUUUUUGUGGGAAAGGAGAGAAAAAAAAAAUCAUUUGCUCUUCUCUUCUCUCCUCUUCACUGCCUCUUGACCCGAUUCUUCUUCAAUGGAAGCGAGAAUCAUCCUCCAAAUUAAGACUUCUUGGAACCCUAAUCGCAAAUUCUCUCCUACUCCUUUAGAUCUAUGCCGGAGGCGCUUAUCUUAUGUUUUUCUAUAUUUAUU
rnacentral:sRNA from 1 species